AAUUCGCCACACAAUGAUAAGGUUGCUGCGAGAUCUAGUGACAAUCAUUCAAAUUCUGCACAGAAUUCUCUGUUAUGAACAGCGCUGACAUAC